ensembl:snoRNA small nucleolar RNA SNORD67
UGUGUGGCAAUGAUGAGUUGCACUUUAUGGCAAGUCGCUGAUUGCAGUGGCACAGCAGACUUGUCCAGACAACCUGUGAUGACACCCACUGUGCACAGGGGCCAUCUGAGCCACA